rnacentral:rRNA from 1 species
CAGCAGCCGCGGUAAAACGAGGGGGGCAAGCGUUGUUCGGAAUUAUUGGGCGUAAAGGGUGCGUAGGCGGCUUGACAAGUCUUGUGUGAAAUCUAUGGGCUCAACCCAUAGUCUGCACGGGAAACUGUCGGGCUUGAGAAUGGGAGAGGUGAGUGGAAUUUCCGGUGUAGCGGUGAAAUGCGUAGAUAUCGGAAGGAACACCUGUGGCUAAAGCGGCUCACUGGACCAUUUCUGACGCUGAUGCACGAAAGCUAGGGGAGCAAACAGGAUUAGAGACCCGAGUAGUCCCUGUCUCUUAUAC